GAGUUUGAUCCUGGCUCAGAGUGAACGCUGGCGGCAGGCCUAACACAUGCAAGUCGAACGGCAGCACAGUCCCGCAACGGGAGUGGGUGGCGAGUGGCGGACGGGUGAGGAAUACGAUCGGAAAUCUACCUUGUCGUGGGGGAUAACGUAGGGAAACUUACGGCUAAAUACCCGCAUACGACCUACGGGUGAAAGCGGCGGACCGCAAGGCGUCGCGCGAUUGGAUGAGCCGAUGUCCGAUUAGCUAGUUGGCGGGGUAAAGGCCCACCAAGGCGACGAUCGGUAGCUGGUCUGAGAGGAUGAUCAGCCACACUGGAACUGAGACACGGUCCAGACUCCUACGGGAGGCAGCAGUGGGGAAUAUUGGACAAUGGGCGCAAGCCUGAUCCAGCCAUGCCGCGUGUGUGAAGAAGGCCUU
rnacentral:rRNA from 1 species